UGGAGCAUGUGGUUCAAUUCGACGCAACGCGAAGAACCUUACCCAGGCUUGAACUGCGAGUGACAUCCUACGAAAGUAGGCUUCCGCAAGGACACUCGUAGAGGUGCUGCAUGGCUGUCGUCAGCUCGUGUCGUGAGAUGUUGGGUUAAGUCCCGCAACGAGCGCAACCCUUGUCUUCUGUUGCCAUCGGGUUAUGCCGGGCACUCUGAAGAGACUGCCGGUGACAAACCGGAGGAAGGUGGGGAUGACGUCAAGUCAGCAUGGCCUUUAUGCCUGGGGCCACACACGUGCUACAAUGGCCGGUACAAACCGUCGCGAUCUCGCGAGAGGGAGCUAAUCGGAGAAAGCCGGUCUC
rnacentral:rRNA from 1 species